rnacentral:rRNA from 1 species
AUACCACCGUCGUCAGCUUACCCUGUGAAGGACUCAUAGUAAGCAAGAUUGGCAUAGCCCAAAACGUCAGGUCGAGGUGUAGCGUAUGGAAAGGGAAGAAAUGGGCUACAUUCACUAACAUAGUGAAACACGAACGAUACACUGAAAUACGUAUCUGAAGGAGGAUUUAGCAGUAAGCAGAAAAUAGAGCGUUCCGCUGAAACUGGCCCUGAAGCGCGCACACACCGCCCGUCACUCUCCCCAAGCUUACUAACCUUAAGUACCUAAGACCCUAAAACUGCAAAGGGGAGGCAAGUCGUAACAUGGUAAGUGUACCGGAAGGUGCACUUGGAAAAAU